UACAGAGGGUGCGAGCGUUAAUCGGAAUUACUGGGCGUAAAGCGUGCGUAGACGGCUAUCUAAGUCGGGUGUGAAAGCCCCGGGCUCAACCUGGGAAUUGCAUUCGAGACUGAAUAGCUAGGGUGCGGUAGAGGGAAGCGGAAUUUCCGGUGUAGCGGUGAAAUGCGUAGAUAUCAGGAAGAACACCUAUGGCGAAGGCAGCUCUCUGGGACGGUACUGACGCUGAGACGCGAAAGCGUGGGGAGCGAACAGG
rnacentral:rRNA from 1 species